UUUUUUUUUUUUUUUUUUUUUUUUUUUUUUUUUUUUUUCAU
rnacentral:ribozyme from 1 species